UGACUGUCAGUGGCAAAAUCAGUGAGUGUCAGAGCCCUGUGGGCCUCCUUCCUCCAUCUCUAUGCUGGGUGCGGUCUAGUGAUCUAGGAUGGUAUAGAAGUCUUGCAGCCCAGCCCACUCAUACUUACAGCCCUCUGCCUCUUUGAUACAGUACCUGAUCUACUACCACUCUUGUCUUUCAGCUCACAGUCCUCAGGCCCAUGACAAUCCACAGGAGAAGAGACUUGCAGCAGUUGCAGAUGACCCAGAGGUGCGGGUUCUACAUAGCAUCGGUCACAGUGCUGCCCCACGCCUCUUCCCACUUGCCUGGACUGUGCUGCUCCUUCCACUUCUGCUGCUGCAAACCCCGUGAAGGUGUAUGCCACACCUGGCCUUAAAGAGGGACAGGCUGAAGAGAGGGACAGGCACUCCAAACCUGUCUUGGGGCCACUUUCAGAGCCCCCAGCCCUGGGAACCACUCCCACCACAGGCAUAAGCUAUCACCUAGCAGCCUCAAAACGGGUCAGUAUUAAGGGUUUCAACCGGAAGGAGGCCAACCAGCCCGGCAGUGCCAUCCCCACCUUCACCUCGGAGGGAUGGAGAAAGAAGUGGAGACAGUCCUUUCCCACCAUUCCUGCCUUUAAGCCAAAGAAACAAGCUGUGCAGACAUGGUCCCUUAAGGCACAGUGGGAGCUGAGCUGGAAGGGGCCACGUGGAUGGGCAAAGCUUGUCAAAGAUGCCCCCUCCAGGAGAGAGCCAGUAUGCCCAGAUGAACUGACUGAAGGAAAAGCAAGAAACAGUUUCUUGCUUGGGAGCCAGGUACAGGAGAGGCAGCAUGCUUGGGCUGACCCAGCAUCUCCCAGCAAGACCUCAUCUGUGGAGCUGCCACAGAGAAGUUUGUAGCCAGGUACUGCAUUCUCUCCCAUCCUGGGGCAGCACUCCCCAGAGCUGUGCCAGCAGGGGGGCUGUGCCAACCUGUUCUUAGAGUGUAGCUGUUAAGGGCAGUGCCCAUGUGUACAUUCUGCCUAGAGUGUAGCCUAAAGGGCAGGGCCCACGUGUACAGUAUCUGUAUAUAAGUUGCUGUGUGUCUGUCCUGAUUUCUACAACUGGAGUUUUUUUAUACAAUGUUCUUUGUCUCAAAAUAAAGCAAUGUGUUUUUUC
rnacentral:lncRNA from 1 species